UACGAAGGGGGCAAGCGUUGUUCGGAUUUACUGGGCGUAAAGGGCGCGCAGGCGGCUCUUCAAGUCAGAUGUGAAAGCCCCGGGCUACCAACCGUGGGAACUGGCAUUUGAGACUGAAGAACUCGAGUUCGGGAGAGGAUGGCGGAAUUCCCAGUGUAGAAGGUGAAAUUCGUAGAUAUUGGGAAGAACACCGGUGGCGAAGGCGGCCAAUCGUGGACCGAGGACGUGACGCUGAGGCGCGAAAGCUAAGGGGAGCAAACGGGG
rnacentral:rRNA from 1 species